UUGGAAGUAAAAAGUCGUAACAAGGUUUCCGUAGGUGAACCUGCGGAAGGAUCAUUACCGAGUGAGGGCCCUCUGGGUCCAACCUCCCACCCGUGUUUAUUUUACCUUGUUGCUUCGGCGGGCCCGCCUUAACUGGCCGCCGGGGGGCUCACGCCCCCGGGCCCGCGCCCGCCGAAGACACCCUCGAACUCUGUCUGAAGAUUGUAGUCUGAGUGAAAAUAUAAAUUAUUUAAAACUUUCAACAACGGAUCUCUUGGUUCCGGCAUCGAUGAAGAACGCAGCGAAAUGCGAUACGUAAUGUGAAUUGCAAAUUCAGUGAAUCAUCGAGUCUUUGAACGCACAUUGCGCCCCCUGGUAUUCCGGGGGGCAUGCCUGUCCGAGCGUCAUUGCUGCCCUCAAGCACGGCUUGUGUGUUGGGCCCCGUCCUCCGAUCCCGGGGGACGGGCCCGAAAGGCAGCGGCGGCACCGCGUCCGGUCCUCGAGCGUAUGGGGCUUUGUCACCCGCUCUGUAGGCCCGGCCGGCGCUUGCCGAUCAACCCAAAUUUUUAUCCAGGUUGACCUCGGAUCAGGUAGGGAUACCCGCUGAACUUAAGCAUAUCAAUAAGGCGGAGGAA
rnacentral:rRNA from 1 species